rnacentral:rRNA from 1 species
UACGGGAGAAAGCGGGGGAUCUUCGGACCUCGCGCUAUCGGAUGAGCCUAGGUCGGAUUAGCUAGUUGGUGAGGUAAAGGCUCACCAAGGCGACGAUCCGUAGCUGGUCUGAGAGGAUGAUCAGCCACACUGGAACUGAGACACGGUCCAGACUCCUACGGGAGGCAGCAGUGGGGAAUAUUGGACAAUGGGCGAAAGCCUGAUCCAGCCAUGCCGCGUGUGUGAAGAAGGUCUUCGGAUUGUAAAGCACUUUAAGUUGGGAGGAAGGGUUGUAACCUAAUACGUUGCAACUUUGACGUUACCGACAGAAUAAGCACCGGCUAACUUCGUGCCAGCAGCCGCGGUAAUACGAAGGGUGCAAGCGUUAAUCGGAAUUACUGGGCGUAAAGCGCGCGUAGGUGGUUUGAUAAGUUGGAUGUGAAAGCCCCGGGCUCAACCUGGGAAUUGCAUCCAAAACUGUCUGACUAGAGUACGGUAGAGGGUAGUGGAAUUUCCUGUGUAGCGGUGAAAUGCGUAGAUAUAGGAAGGAACACCAGUGGCGAAGGCGAC